rnacentral:lncRNA from 1 species
UGCCAUACAAAGAAUGAUUAGCAUGAAAAAAAGCAGUUUUCCUUUGCACAUGUGCACAUGUGGAUCUCUAGAUAAUAUAUGUAAGUUUCAGAUUAAAGGUAUAUACCCCAUGGAAGGGUAGUGAAUUGGGAAUAUAUUUGGUGGAUGCUGCAACAGAUGUAAGAGGGAAUAGUGGCAAUAAAUUCUUACAAAGUAUCUUUU